GAACGCAGUUUUGCAACGCGACGAGGAGCUUAAUUUUUUUUUUUUUUUGGCCGGUUUGUCCCCCCUGGGGAAGCACUGAAAGAGGCUCCCCUCGAAAGAAUACAAAGGGGUUGUGCGUCCUGGCGCUUCCAGGCUUCGAUCCCCGAGCCCGACGACAUGCAGUCCCGCAGGCACGGGAAGAGCUCCCCCAGAGCGCCUAGGCUCUACAGCGGGACCGCCCGAACUACUCCCGCUUCUCCCGCGGCGGUAACAGCGGGAUGCCUCCGCCCCACUCGGGCCGUGCAUCCUGCUGCCCUGAAUUUCACUGCCGGGCGAAACGCUGGACUCCCACCCGCGGGGCCACCGAGUGAUGGGUCCCUGAGUCCGCUCCGGUGCACCGGAGGGUUUCGGGUCGCGUUUCCCCGUGCCCGUCAUCUUGGCACUUCGGCAUUUCGUGGCGGCCUUUAAACGUCCUCCGCACUAGGGCACCCAUGCGGGAGCAUCCCACACGGUGUAUGGGCUCCUCCACCGCCAGCUCAGCAGACACUGUGGCAGCCCAGCUUGCUGGCCCUACCUGCCCUCAAACACCCAUGGAAACCCACACCUGCUUGGAGACACGAAUAAGAUUGAAAAAAGAUGCUCCACAGCACAAAAGGCUAGAAGAGUGGACUACAAACAACGUUUAAUCAAAACUGGAGACACAACACUAUUCCUUAAGUAAAGCAAAUAAGAAGAGCUGAGGUAAUAAAAUAUCCAGGUUU